UUUUUGGGAGUAGAGCUUCUUGAUGUCCAAACGAUGAUCUUGGAUGAGCAGAUUCAGCUGCUGGCUUAUGGAUCCCACUGUCCUAUUCCAUAGUAGAUUAAAUCGAUAUCGAAUCCAUGGUUUUUGGGACAGGAUUGUGGCUUGCAUAAUCCAGGAGAUGCUCUAGCUCUGUGAGAUCUGUGUUUGGAUUGAAGGGAGCUCUACAUCAAUCUCCU
rnacentral:pre_miRNA from 1 species